rnacentral:lncRNA from 1 species
UGGAAUAAAAGAAAUCAGUAAAAAAGUACCUCGCUGGUCCCAUAAAUUAAUCACCGAAUUGGACCAACAAAUGGGUGAAUUUAAAGAUCGCGCAUCAAUGGAUCAUCAACUUCGUUCAAGAAAAGCCAAACGUGUAGUUAUUUUUACUGACAACAAGGCGACUAAGGAUGCUGAGGAGGAAGUGGCUUUAAUAAGCUAUUCGCAACAAUCAGAUUUUCGGCGAGGUAUAAUUACAGGCUCUAUGCGGGCUCAAAGGCGCAAAACAUUUAUUUCGAAACUAUUUCAAGCAAAUGUACAUUCCCCCCUUUUUGUCGACAGAAUAACCCCCCUACGUCUUUUUUCUUUUGAUAUCUCUGAACUAAUUAAACCAAUUUUGAAAAAUUGGACAGAUAAAGAGGGAGAAUUCAAGAUUCUAGAGUCUAGAGAAGAACAAACAAAAAGAGAAGAGAAAAAAGAAAAGGACAAAAAAGAGGAUAACAAAAGAAAGGAACAGGCACGGAUAGCGAUCGAAGAAGCCUGGGAUACCAUUCCUUUGGCACAAAUAAUAAGAGGUUACAUGUUAAUAACUCAAUCAAUUCUUCGAAAAUAUAUUCUAUUACCUGCAUUGAUAAUAGCCAAAAAUAUCGGGCGUAUGUUAUUCUUGCAACUUCCUGAAUGGUCUGAAGAUUUACAGGAAUGGAAUAGAGAAAUGCAGAUUAAAUGUACUUAUAAUGGUGUUCAAUUAUCAGAAACAGAAUUUCCCAAAAAUUGGUUAAGAGACGGGAUUCAGAUCAAAAUUUUAUUUCCUUUUUGUCUGAAACCUUGGCAUAUAUCUAAACUGUACCCCUCCCGCAGAGAGCUAAUGAAAAAGCAAAAACAAAAAGAUGAUUUUUGUUUUUUAACAGUUUGGGGAAUGGAAGCUGAACUUCCCUUUGGUUCUCCCCGAAAGCGACCUUCAUUUUUUGAGCCCAUUUUUAAGGAACUCGAAAAAAAAAUUGGAAAAUUCAAAAAGAAAUAUUUUCUAACUCUAAAAAUUUUAAAAGGAAAAACAAAAUUAUUUAGAAGAGUUUCAAAAGAAACCACAAAAUUGUUUAUCAAAAGUAUUGGAUUUCUAAAAAAAAUAAAAAAAGAACUUUCAAAAGUAAAUCUAAUUGUAUUAUUUAGAUUCAAAGAAAUAUCUGAAUCCAAUGAAACAAAAAAAGAAAAAGAUUAUCUAAUUAGUAAUCAAAUAAUUAACGAAUCAUUUCGUCAAAUUGAAUCUGGAAAUUGGCCAAAUUCUUCACUGAUAGAAACAAAAAUGAAGGAUUUGACUGAUAGAACAAGUACAAUCAAAAAUAAAAUAGAAAGAAUUACAAAAGAGAAAAAGAAAGUAACUCCAGAAAUAGACAUUAAUCCUAAUAAAACAAAUAAUAUUAAAAAAUUCGAAUCGCCAAAAAAAAUUUUCCAAAUAUUAAAAAGCAGAAAUACUCGAGUAAUAUGGAAAUUCCAUUAUUUUCUAAAAUUAUUCAUUCAAAGAUUAUACAUCAAUUUAUUUUUAUCUAUCAUUAAUAUUCCUAGAAUUACUACACAACUCUUUCUUAAAUCAACAAACAAAUUGAUUGAGAAAUUCAUCUCCAAUAAUGAAAUAAAUCAAGAAAAAAUUAAUAAUAAAAAAAAAUUCACUUUAUGUUUAUUUCGACUAUAAAAAAGUCACUUUAUAAUAUUAGUAAGAAAAAUUCACAUAUUUUGUGUGAUUUAUCCUACUUGUCACAAGCAUAUGUAUUUUACAAAUUAUCACAAACCCAAGUUAUUAAUUUUUCUAAAUUUAGAUCUGUUCUUCAAUAUAACACAACGUCUUGUUUCCUUAAGACUAAAAUAAAGGACUAUUUUAAAACACUAGGAAUAUUUCAUUCGGAAUUAAAAGAUAAGAAACUUCAGAGUUAUAGAAUAAAUCAAUGGAAAAACUGGUUAAGAUGGCAUUAUCAAUACGAUUUAUCUCAGAUUAGAUGGUCUAGAUUAAUGCCAAAAAAAUGGCGAACUAGGGUUAAUCAAAGUUGUAUGGCUCAAAAUAAAAAUAGAAACUUAAACAAAUGGAAUUCAUAUGAAAAAGACCAAUUACUUCAUUACAAAAAAGAAAAUGAUUCGGAACUCUAUUCAUUAUCAAACGAAAAAGAUAAUUUUAAAAAAUGUUAUGGAUAUGGUCUUUUAGCAUAUAAAUCGAUUAAUUAUGAAAAUAAAAGUGACUCAUUUUUUUCUAGAUUACCCUUUGAAGUUCAAGUAAAGAAGAACUUAGAAAUUUCGUAUAAUUCCAACACGUCCAAACACAACUUUGUUGAUAUGCCCGGCAAUCUUCAUAUCAAUAAUUAUCUAAGAAAGGGCAAUAUUCUAGAUAGAGAAAGAAAUCUCGAUAGAAAAUAUUUUGAUUGGAAAAUUAUCCAUUUUUCUCUUAGACAAAAAGGAGAUAUUGAAGCCUGGGUUAAGAUCGAUACCAACAGUAAUCCAAAUACUAAAAUUGGUAUUAAUAAUUAUCAAAUAAUUGAUAAAAUUGAGAAAAAGGGGGUUUUUUAUCUUACAACUCAUCAACAUCCAGAAAAAACUCAAAAAAAUUCGAAAAAAGUCUUUUUUGAUUGGAUGGGAAUGAAUGAAAAAAUAUUUAAUCGUCCCAUAUUGAAUCUGGAAUUUUGGUUCUUCCCAGAAUUUGUACUACUUUAUAAUGUCUAUAAAAUAAAACCGUGGAUUAUACCAAGCAAAUUCCUUCUUUUUAAUUUGAAUACAAAUAAAAAUGUUAGUCAAAAUAAAAACCAAAACUUUUUUCUACCAUCAAAUAAAAAAAUAAAAAUAAAGAAUCGAAGUCAAGAAGCAAAAGAACCCCCAAGUCAAAGAGAGCGUGGAUCAGAUAUAGAAAACAAAGGAAAUCUGAGCCCUGUUUUUUCAAAACAUCAAACCGAUCUUGAAAAAGAUUACGUGGAAUCAGACACAAAAAAGGGUAAAAAUAAAAAACAAUACAAAAGCAACACGGAAGCAGAACUAGAUUUGUUCUUGAAACGUUAUUUGCUUUUUCAAUUGAGAUGGAACGGUGCUUUGAAUCAAAGAAUGUUCGAAAAUAUCAAGGUAUAUUGUCUCCUGCUUCGACUGAUAAAUCCAACCAAAAUUACUAUAUCGUCAAUUCAAAGGAGAGAAAUGAGUUUGGAUAUAAUGCUGAUUCAGGCAAAUUUACCUCUUACAGACUUGAUGAAGAAGGGGGUAUUGAUUAUCGAACCUAUUCGGUUGUCUGUAAAAGAUAAUGGACAAUUUAUUAUGUAUCAAACCAUAGGUAUUUCAUUGGUUCAUAAAAGUAAACACCAAACUAAUCAAAGAUACCGAGAACAAAGAUAUGUUGAUAAAAAGAAUUUUGACGAAUUCAUUCUGCAACCUCAAACUCAAAGAAUAAAUACAGAAAAAACUCAUUUUGGUUUGCUUGUUCCUGAAAAUAUUUUAUGGUCUAGACGUCGUAGAGAGUUGAGAAUUCGAAGUUUUUUUAAUUCUUGGAAUUGGAAUGUCGUCGAUAGAAAUUCAGUAUUUUGCAACGAAACCAAUGUAAAAAACUGGAGUCAAUUUUUGGGUGAACGGAAACCCCUUUAUAAAGAUAAAAAUGAAUUAAUUAAAUUUAAGUUCUUUUUUUGGCCUAAUUAUCGAUUAGAAGAUUUAGCUUGUAUGAAUCGUUAUUGGUUUGAUACCAAUAAUGGUAGCCGUUUCAGUAUCUUAAGGAUACAUAUGUAUCCACGAUUGAAAAUUAAUUGAUAGUACUAUAUACCCUGUCUCGUAUAGAGUAUCUGAAAGCAAAUAAAUGCAAACAUGCCUUGUUUUACAUCUCAUUCGAAUCUAAUUCGAGUAGACAAUACUAAAUCAAUAAAAUAAGGUAUUGAUUAGAUCUAGAAAUGAAUCAACAGAAUCUUCUUCAUUUUAGGAUUUUAGGUUUCAAUUAUUCGCUUUUGUGAUUAAAAAAAACGUACCUACCGUCUUUUUGGAUUCCUAUCUGAAUCAAAUUUGAAAUUUGAUUAAUUUAUUGGAAUUGCUAAAAUUAGAGGUUCAUAAAGAAAUUAAGUCUAUAUACCACGUUUAAAUUACUGGCAUUAUUAUUACUGAUCAAUAAAAUUCGAAAAAAUCCAUAUCUGUAAAAUAAAGAAAGGGGAAAUUCAUUUAUGGUAAAAAAUUCUGUCAUUUCAGUUAUUUCUCAAGAAGAAAAGAAAGGAUCUGUUGAAUUUCAAGUAUUCAAUUUCACCAAUAAGAUACGAAGACUUACUUCACAUUUAGAAUUGCACAAAAAAGACUAUUUAUCUCAGAGAGGUUUGAAGAAAAUUUUGGGAAAACGUCAACGACUGCUAGCUUAUUUGGCAAAAAAAAAUAGAGUACGUUAUAAAGAAUUAAUUAAUCGGUUGGACAUUCGAGAGACAAAAACUCGUUAAUUUGAUUAAUUUGAAGAGUUAUUUCAUUUUCACUUAUAUGUUUCGAUUAAAUUUUGAUGAACUUCUUUUCACUUUCAGUAAUUCAUGGAAGAAUGAAUCGUUAAAAAACUUAUGACUGCACCAACUACAAGAAAAGACCUCAUGAUAGUCAAUAUGGGGCCUCAGCACCCAUCAAUGCACGGUGUUCUUCGACUCAUCGUUACUCUAGAUGGUGAAGAUGUUGUCGACUGCGAACCAAUAUUGGGUUAUUUACAUAGAGGGAUGGAGAAAAUUGCGGAAAACCGAACAAUUAUACAAUAUUUGCCUUAUGUAACACGUUGGGAUUAUUUAGCUACUAUGUUCACAGAAGCAAUAACCAUAAAUGGACCCGAACAAUUAGGCAAUAUUCAAGUACCUAAAAGGGCUAGCUAUAUCAGAGUCAUUAUGUUGGAGUUGAGUCGGAUAGCUUCUCAUUUGUUAUGGCUCGGUCCUUUUAUGGCGGAUAUUGGUGCACAGACCCCUUUCUUCUAUAUUUUUAGAGAAAGAGAAUUGAUAUAUGACCUAUUCGAAGCUGCCACCGGUAUGCGAAUGAUGCAUAAUUAUUUUAGGAUUGGAGGAGUGGCUGCCGAUCUACCCUAUGGCUGGAUAGAUAAAUGUUUGGAUUUUUGCGAUUAUUUUUUAACAGGGGUUGCUGAGUAUCAAAAACUUAUUACUCGGAAUCCUAUUUUUUUAGAACGAGUUGAAGGCGUAGGCAUUAUUGGGAGAGACGAGGCAUUAAAUUGGGGUUUAUCGGGACCAAUGCUACGAGCUUCCGGAAUAGAAUGGGAUCUUCGUAAAGUUGAUCAUUAUGAGUCUUACGACGAAUUUGAUUGGCAGGUUCAAUGGCAACGAGAAGGGGAUUCAUUAGCUCGUUAUUUAGUACGAAUCGGUGAAAUGACAGAAUCCAUAAAGAUUAUUCAACAGGCUCUGGAAGGAAUUCCAGGGGGGCCUUACGAAAAUUUAGAAAUGCGACGUUUUGACAGAUUAAAAGAUCCUGAAUGGAAUGAUUUUGAAUAUCGGUUUAUUAGUAAAAAGCCUUCUCCAACUUUUGAAUUGUCGAAACAAGAACUUUAUGUGAGAGUUGAAGCCCCAAAAGGAGAAUUGGGGAUUUUUCUGAUAGGAGAUCAGAGCGUUUUUCCUUGGAGAUGGAAAAUUCGCCCACCAGGUUUUAUCAAUUUGCAAAUUCUUCCUCAGUUAGUUAAAAGAAUGAAAUUGGCUGAUAUUAUGACAAUACUAGGUAGCAUAGAUAUCAUUAUGGGAGAAGUUGAUCGUUGAAAUGAUAAUUGAUACAACAGAAAUAGAGACUAUCAAUUCUUUUUCCAAAUUGGAAUCCUUAAAAGAAGUCUAUGGGAUCAUAUGGAUGCUUGUCCCUAUUGUGACUCUUGUAUUAGGAAUCACAAUAGGUGUACUAGUAAUUGUUUGGUUAGAAAGAGAAAUAUCUGCAGGAAUACAACAACGUAUUGGGCCUGAAUAUGCCGGCCCGUUAGGAAUUCUUCAAGCUCUAGCAGAUGGGACAAAACUACUUUUGAAAGAGAACCUUAUUCCAUCUACAGGAGAUACUCGUUUAUUCAGUAUCGGACCAUCCAUAGCAGUAAUAUCUAUCUUUCUAAGUUAUUCAGUAAUUCCUUUUGGUGAUCACCUUGUUCUAGCCGAUCUUAGUAUUGGUGUUUUUUUUUUGGAUUGCCAUUUCAAGUAUUGCUCCCGUUGGACUUCUUAUGUCGGGGUAUGGAUCAAAUAAUAAAUAUUCCUUUUUAGGUGGUCUACGGGCAGCUGCUCAAUCAAUUAGUUAUGAAAUACCAUUAGCUCUAUGUGUGUUAUCAAUAUCUCUACGUGUGAUUCGGUGAGACCUAAAAUUUAUCCAAAUUCUUUUCUUUCUAGAAACAAGGAUAAAAAGAUUUGAUUGAUUAUAUAUAUUUUUUUCUUCAGCAUUUGAGUUGAUGAACUAAAUCAGAUAGUUAUAUGAGUGAAAGAAAACGGCUUCUAAAUUUGCAGUAAAAAAGUUGAGUCUCAUUUCCUAUGUACAAGAAUCAAAUGGUGAAAAAAGUAAACAUAAGCAAGAGAGAUUGUUUACCCCAAGAUUCGUGAAUUGUCAUGAUAGCUUGAAGCGGGUUCAAAAGACCAACUCUAUGGAGUUUUUACUGUCUAUUACCAUAGAUGGAUUUCCACAACGGGAGGUUUUUGAAACAAAAAAUGAGUGGAUGGUUAGGAAGACUAAGAUACACAAAGGAUUAGUAAUUGAGAUUAUGUAAGUUAUCCAAGAGGAUAUUUCUGUACAUAAAAGGAAUUCAAAUUGGGGCUUUACGUUCGUAGAAAUGAUCAAGAAGUACUCCCCAUGAUUCUGAUCCAGAGUAUGUUCCUAUCCACUGAGUAAGUAACUAACUAUCAAGAACGAAGUAAUCUUUUACUUUGGUUAAAGACCCUUUUUCUGAGAAAGGAGAAUAGGAAUGAAAUAAAAAAAUCGAAAUAGAAAGAAAAGAAGCUAAUUGCAAAAGGAAAAAGGAGGGAUGUCUUUUUUUGUUUUUAUUCUUUCUUUCCUAUAAUUCAAUUUUUAUUUCUAUUUAGAGAGAUAAAAUUUUUGUCAUGAUUCAUGAACUAAUGUACUCUCUAAUUUUUUUCGUAAUUGAAAAUUCGAGGUUGAAAUGUAUAUGUGAUAUUGCUAUAAAGCACAUUUUUUUAUUUAAUGAUAAGGUUAUUAAUCAACAAAGAAAAAUUAAAAUUCUUAAAAGAUGAGAUAAAUUCAGAAGCACUUAUUUAUUAGUUUUAAAUAUAGCAGACAGAAUUCCAUUGGUCUAAUUUGGGACCUUAGAAUAGAUUUUGACUCUAUCUGACAAACAUAUCAAGAUAAAGAAUAGGAAAGGGCCCUUAGAUUUAGUUGUGACCUCUGAGGAGCCGUAUGAGGUGAAAAUCUCACGUACGGUUCUGUAAUAGCGAUGGGCACAGUGAUGUUAUCAUCGACUAUGAUUAUCUAACAGUUUAAGUACAGUUGAUAUAGUGGAAGCGCAGUCAAAAUAUGGUUUUUGGGGGUGGAAUUUGUGGCGUCAACCCAUCGGGUUUAUCGUUUUUCUAAUUUCUUCUCUCGCCGAGUGUGAAAGAUUACCUUUUGAUUUACCAGAAGCAGAAGAAGAAUUAGUAGCAGGGUAUCAAACCGAAUAUUCUGGUAUCAAAUUUGGUUUAUUUUACAUUGCUUCAUAUCUGAAUCUACUAGUUUCUUCAUUAUUUGUAACAGUUCUUUACUUGGGAGGUUGGAAUCUUUCUAUUCCGUACAUAUUUGUUCCUGAUAUAUUUGGCAUAAAUAAAGGAGGUAAAGUCUUUGGAACACUAAUUGGUAUCUUUAUCACAUUAGCCAAAACUUAUUUGUUUUUGUUCAUUCCCAUUGCAACAAGAUGGACUUUACCGAGGCUGAGAAUGGACCAACUAUUAAAUCUUGGGUGGAAAUUUCUUUUACCGAUUUCUCUAGGUAAUCUAUUAUUGACAACCUCGUCCCAACUUCUUUCACUGUAAAAGACCACAAUAUCCUAGAUUCACGACUUGUCUCAAACAAGAGAAAGAAACAAGCAUAAAAUCUUUUUUAUAGAUAUUCAACAUAUGCUCCCUAUGAUAACUGAAUUCAUAAAUUAUGGUCAACAAACAAUACGAGCCGCCAGAUAUAUCGGCCAAGGUUUCAUGAUUACCCUGUCCCACGCAAAUCGUUUACCUGUAACUAUUCAAUACCCCUACGAAAAAUUGAUCACAUCGGAACGUUUCCGAGGCCGAAUACACUUUGAAUUUGAUAAAUGCAUUGCUUGUGAAGUAUGUGUGCGUGUAUGUCCUAUAGAUUUACCCGUUGUUGAUUGGAAGUUGGAAACUGAUAUUCGAAAGAAACGAUUGCUUAAUUACAGUAUUGAUUUUGGAAUCUGUAUAUUUUGUGGUAAUUGCGUUGAGUAUUGCCCAACAAAUUGUUUAUCAAUGACCGAAGAAUAUGAACUUUCUACUUAUGAUCGUCACGAAUUGAAUUAUAAUCAAAUCGCUUUGGGUCGCUUACCAAUGUCAGUAAUUGAUGAUUACACAAUUCGAACAAUUUCGAAUUUACCUCAAAUAAACAAUGAAUAAACCCUUAAUUUGAUUCAAAAAAAUUACAAAUUACGAAGGCUUAGUUCGGAUCUAAAACAAUGAGAUUUUUGCUUGGGCAAUUCAAACUAGUGGUUUCUUAAUGAGACUCCUAGCUUAAGCUUAAUUUAGAUUGAAAACAAAACCGAGUUCAAUAUUAUAUAUUAUAAUAGUAAUGGUUUCAAAGUAGAUAAAUGAUAUCAAAAAUAGAUAGGUUUAAACUCCUCUUUCGACGAAUAAAGAAUGGAUAGUGGUCCAAUAAAAUAAAAGCAUCUACGUCAAUUCAUACCCAUUAGACUUUCAUUCAAUUAACAAUUUCAAAGUAUCAUAAAAAAUAGAAAAACUGCUUUUUUCCUGGUCAGGUCAAUAAAGUCAUGAAAUUCUUCGUUUUUGAUUUUUUAUAAAAAAUGGAUUUAUCUGAACCAAUACAUGAUUUUCUUUUAGUCUUUCUAGGAUCGGGUCUUAUAUUAGGGGGUCUAGGAGUGGUAUUACUUCCCAAUCCAAUUUAUUCGGCCUUUUCCUUGGGAUUGGUUCUUGUUUGUACAUCGUUAUUCUAUAUUCUAUCUAACGCCUAUUUUGUAGCUGCUGCGCAGCUACUUAUUUACGUAGGAGCUAUAAAUGUUUUAAUCAUUUUUGCUGUGAUGUUCAUGAAUGGCUCAGAAUAUUACAAGGAUUUUCAUCUUUGGACCGUAGGAGAUGGAAUUACUUCGAUGGUUUGUAUAAGUCUUUUUAUUUCACUAAUUACUACUAUUUCAGAUACGUCAUGGUACGGGAUUAUUUGGACUACAAGAUCAAACCAGAUUAUAGAGCAAGAUUUUCUAAGUAAUAGUCAACAAAUUGGAAUUCAUUUAUCAACAGAUUUUUUUCUCCCAUUUGAACUUAUUUCCAUAAUCCUUUUAGUUGCUUUAAUAGGUGCAAUUGCUGUAGCUCGUCAAUAAAAAAUUUCUAUUAAAACUUGGAAUUCAAAUAAAAUUUUGUUCUGUCUUAUCACAUUAAUUUUCCUUCAAUUCUAUUUGAAUUCUAGCUGGAUAAAUAGAAAGACUUUAGGUCAAUCUAGUAACAAUAUAUUUCUUUGUUCCAUACUUGUUAUAUACUAGUCAAUUAAGUUAGUUGAAUUGUUGUUCAUAUUGAAAGGAGUCGGGAUUGAUAAGGAGUUGUUUAAUGAUUCUCGAACAUGUACUUGUUUUGAGUGCCUAUUUAUUUUCCAUCGGUAUCUAUGGAUUGAUCACAAGUCGAAAUAUGGUUAGAGCCCUUAUGUGUCUUGAACUUAUAUUGAAUGCAGUUAAUAUCAAUUUUGUAACAUUUUCUGAUUUUUUUGAUAAUCGUCAAUUAAAGGGAGACAUUUUCUCAAUUUUUGUUAUAGCUAUUGCAGCCGCUGAAGCAGCCAUUGGCCUGGCUAUUGUUUCAUCAAUUUACCGUAACAGAAAAUCAACUCGUAUCAACCAAUCAAAUUUGUUGAAUAAUUAAUAUUAAUCAUCUAGAUUCUAAUAUUGAGAAAUCUAUUUUAAUUAGCAUGUUUACUACGUAAAGUAUGAUCUUGUUUGCAAAACAUAAGAAAUCAAAGUAUUUUGGCCUCUCUCAUAUCUCAUAAACCAAUCCAGAAAGGGGUUGAUUAGAAAAUUAUGAUAACUCAUUGAUUCAUCUGGUAUCUAAAUAUACGAUUCGUUUCUAAGUUUACUAGAUCGAAAAUUUAGAACAUUCAAAAACGUAUAGGCCCAAUGUCACAUUCAGUAAAGAUUUAUGAUACGUGUAUAGGAUGUACUCAAUGUGUCCGAGCCUGCCCCACUGAUGUAUUAGAAAUGAUACCUUGGGACGGUUGUAAGGCUAAACAAAUUGCUUCUGCUCCACGAACAGAGGACUGUGUUGGUUGUAAGAGAUGUGAAUCCGCCUGUCCAACAGAUUUCUUGAGUGUCCGAGUUUAUUUAUGGCAUGAAACAACUCGCAGUAUGGGUCUAGCUUAUUGAUACGUUCGAGAAAACUCUACUUGAAUCCAUUUAAUUUUUUUACCGACAAACCUGUGCUCGAAAAUAAAAAUAUUUUGAGCACGGGUUUUUUUGGUCCAAGUGUAUCUUGUCUUUACUACGAAUUAUUUUCCUUGGUUAACAAUAAUUGUCGUUUUUCCGAUAUUUGCGGGUUCUUUAAUUUUCUUUCUUCCCCAUAAAGGAAAUAGGGUAAUUAGGUGGUAUACAAUAUGUAUAUGUAUUUUAGAACUCCUUCUAACAACUUAUGCAUUUUGUUAUCAUUUCCAAUCGGAUGAUCCAUUAAUCCAACUAGUAGAGGAUUAUAAAUGGAUCGAUUUUUUUGAUUUCCAUUGGAGAUUAGGAAUAGAUGGACUUUCUAUAGGACCCAUUUUAUUAACAGGAUUUAUCACUACUUUAGCGACUUUAGCGGCUUGGCCAGUUACUCGAGAUUCUAGAUUAUUCCAUUUUCUCAUGUUAGCAAUGUACAGUGGUCAAAUUGGAUUAUUUUCGUCUCGGGACCUUUUACUUUUUUUCAUCAUGUGGGAGUUAGAAUUAAUUCCUGUUUAUCUACUUCUAGCCAUGUGGGGAGGAAAGAAACGUCUGUACUCAGCUACAAAAUUUAUUUUGUACACGGCGGGGGGUUCCGUUUUUCUCUUAAUGGGAGUUUUGGGUGUUGCUUUAUAUGGUUCUAAUGAACCAACAUUAAAUUUUGAAACAUCAGUUAAUCAGUCAUAUCCUGUGGUUUUAGAAAUAAUCUUCUAUAUUGGAUUUUUUAUUGCUUUUGCUGUCAAAUCGCCCAUUAUCCCCCUACACACAUGGUUACCAGAUACCCAUGGAGAAGCACAUUACAGUACUUGUAUGCUUCUAGCCGGAAUCUUAUUAAAAAUGGGAGCGUAUGGAUUAAUUCGAAUCAAUAUGGAAUUAUUACCUCAUGCCCAUUCUAUAUUUUCUCCUUGGUUGAUGAUAAUAGGUACAAUACAAAUAAUCUAUGCAGCUUCAACAUCUCUUGGCCAACGGAAUUUAAAAAAAAGAAUAGCCUAUUCCUCUGUCUCUCAUAUGGGUUUCAUAAUUAUAGGAAUUAGUUCUCUAACCGAUACGGGACUAAAUGGAGCCCUUUUACAAAUAAUCUCUCAUGGAUUUAUUGGUGCUGCACUUUUUUUCUUGGCGGGAACGACUUAUGAUAGAAUCCGCCUUGUUUAUCUUGACGAAAUGGGCGGAAUAGCUAUUCCAAUGCCAAAAAUGUUCACGAUGUUCAGUAGCUUUUCGAUGGCUUCCCUUGCAUUACCAGGUAUGAGUGGUUUUGUUGCCGAAUUGAUAGUAUUUUUUGGAAUAAUUACCGGCCAAAAAUAUCUUUUAAUGCCAAAACUACUAAUUACUUUUGUAAUGGCAAUUGGAAUUAUAUUAACUCCUAUUUAUUCAUUAUCUAUGCCACGCCAGAUGUUCUAUGGAUACAAGUUAUUUAACGCCCCGAAGGAUUCUUUUUUUGAUUCUGGACCGCGAGAGUUAUUUCUUUCGAUCUCCAUCUUUUUACCCGUAAUAGGUAUUGGUAUAUACCCCGAUUUCGUUCUUUCAUUAGCAGUUGACAAGGUCGAAGUUAUUCUAUCUAAUUUUUUUAUAGAUAAUUGGAUGACUGAAAUAAAAAAACCUAUGUUUGUUUUUAAAAACAUUCUUGGACAAUGAAAAAAAGUCUUCUUUUUUUCUUCUCUUUUAACUUAAGAAUUAAGUAAAAACAAUGAAAUUGAACUACAUAUGGUAGAAAACCGUGUGAAUCAUCAAUACAAUAUUUGAUUCACACGGUCCGCAUGCUGGUUCAUACAAUGCGUCGCCCGCUCUUGUAUUUGUAAUAACUUGUCUUGAAUUCAAUUAAAUGUUGAUGGAAAAGAACCAUAACUAUGUAACCCUAUUCCUAAUAGAUUGACCCCAAAAUAGCAUAUCCAAAUUAUAAGAAAACCUAUCGACGCUACAAUUGCAGAAUUUGGACCCCGCAAAUUUCUAUUUGUUCGAGUAUGUAAAUAAAUGGCAAAUACGAUCC